GCCGCCCGGCAUCAGUUUGAAUUCAGAGCGGUACCAGUGCGAUUCAUUGAACGAAGUAUAACUGUUAUAUACUGUGCUGUGCGACUCAGUGAAAUACACAUACUUAACGAUUAUUUAAUUCACCAGUGACUUUUUAAAUUCAAAUACAAAGUGAUUUAAAUUGUAAUCGUUUUAUUCUUAUAAUUUAUUUUCGUAUUAAUUGUGCGUGUGACCAAAGUUGACAACUUUAUUGCGGAAAUGGUUGGAAGAACAGCGAUCGGCAUCGACCUGGGUACCACCUAUUCUUGUGUGGGUAUCUGGCAACACGGAAAAGUAGAGGUCAUCGCCAACGAUCAAGGAAACAGGACCACCCCGAGUUAUGUGGCGUUUACCGACACCGAACGGUUGAUCGGCGACGCGGCCAAGAACCAGGUGGCAAUGAACCCCGUCAAUACGGUGUUCGACGCCAAACGGUUGAUCGGUCGUCGAUUUGACGACGACAAAACGCAAGCGGACAUCAAACACUGGCCGUUCAAAGUGGUCGACGAUUUCGGUAAGCCCAAGAUCCAAGUGGAUUUCAAGGAUGAACGGAAUGUAUUCGCGCCGGAAGAGAUCAGUUCAAUGGUGCUGACGAAAAUGACGGAGACCGAUAACAACCUGUUGGCACAUUCGACUUGACCGGCAUACUCCGGCGCCCAGAGGUACACUAAGAUCGAGGUGACUUUCGAUAUGGACGCCAACGGUAUCUUGAACGUGUCGGCCCAAGGACAACAGCUCUGGCCGCUCCAAGAACAUCGUCAUCAAGAACGACAAGGGCCGCCUGUCUCAGGCCGAAAUCGAUCGUAUGCUUAGCGAGGCCGAACGAUACAAGGAAGAGGACGAGCGACAAAAAGUUAAGAUCGCGGCCAAGAAUCAGUUGGAGAGCUACGUGUAUGGUGUCAAACAAGCGUUGGACGAAGCCGGCGACAAGCUGACCGAGUCCGAAAAGAACACAGGGAAACGGGAAUGCGACGCGGUCAUUCAGUGGUUGGACAACAAUCAGUUGGCAGACAAAGAAGAGUACGAGUACAAACUAAAGGAAAUCCAAAAGAGCUGCUCGGCUCUAAUGAUGAAGAUACACGGUGCAGGACAACCCGGUAAUGCGUCUCACCCCGGUGCUCAUGGUUUCCCUGGGCCCGGCUCCGGAGGACCAACCGUCGAAGAAGUCGAUUGAUUCAUUUGACAAUGUAAUUUGAUUAUAUAUAUUGUAAUUUUAGGUACUAUUGUAAACUGCUUCCUACAUUCUGAUUGUAAAUAGUAUUAUAUAGGUAGAUUUAAUUUGAGACUGAUUUUUCUUUUGUUAUAUUAUACCUACAUUUUUGCAAAAUAAAUAUUAUUUAUUACCUGU